AAAACGAGCUGGGCUGGCUGGAGGCUGCAAUUCUGAACCUGAGUUUAAGUGGCAGGAACCAUGAAGACAUCCAUGGGAGCUUUAAUCAUGUUCUUGUGGCUGCAGCUGAACUGGUUCAGCCAGGGAGAGAAUGUGGAGCAGCAUCCUUCUACCCUGAGUGUCCAGGAGGGAAGCAGCUCUGUUAUCAACUGCAGUUUUUCAGAUGGUCGUUCAGACUAUUUCCCUUGGUAUAAGCAAGAACUUGGAAAAGGUCUCCAGCUCCUUAUAUACAUUCGUUCAAACAUGGCCACAAAAGAAGACCAAAGACUCACAGUUUCACUGAAUAGGACGGCCAAACAUUUCUCCCUGCACAUCAGAGACACCCAGCCUGAAGACUCAGCUGUGUACUUCUGUGCAGCAAGCACACAUUGUUUCCCAGGCACCUGAUGCCUGCACUCAAACCUGGGACUGGGGCAGCCCCCUCUCCUUUGACAUAGACAUUCAAGGAUGGGCUUUGUCCUAUUGUUUGUCUGUACAUGGAAUCUAAUGUUUUAUUAUUUUCUAAAAUUUAAAUUCAGUUAGCUGUCAUAUAGGACAUUAUUUGUUUCAGGUGUGGUGUUCAGUGAUUCAUCUGUUGCAUGCAACACCCAGUUCUUAUCACAUCACAUGCCCUCCUUAAUGCCUAUCACCCAGUUAUCCCAGAAGCUAAUAUUUUAGACAUUUAAAACAAAUUAUAUAA